rnacentral:lncRNA from 1 species
GCCUUUCUAUCUCCUUUCAGUGCCCCAAUUAGAUGACACUAGCAGAAAAUCAGCUGAUGAAAGAAAACAUGGUUUCCGGGGCUCAGACUUAGCAUCUCCAAGAAGAGUAUGUAAGACUGAAUGUAAGACAGUCAUGUACAUAACCCUGGAACUUCCAGACAGGACCAACUACUUGUUUCUAUAUGGCAAAUUGUGAAUAUAUUCAUAUAAAUUAAUUCACUCUCACAUUUUCCCACCCACCAAAAAAAUGGUAAAAAAUCUGAACUGUCAAUAUCCAUCUCUACUGACAUUAGUUUACACCACUCUAGUGAUGUCAACUACUUCUCUAUUAACAGUCCCAACCCCACUGAAAUACUCUUAAAUCUAAAAACUAGAUUUUGAACUAAAAUGCCAACCACCAAGACCUAAAUGAAAUAAUAAAGGCAAUGAAGGGAAGAGAAAACUAAUAAUAAACAUACACACAUAAACAUCCACAUUCAUAUUUCUCAUACCUAAAUAUGUAAAAUAUGCCUACUUGUUGGGGUUCUCAUAUUGUAGUUGAUCACAAAGCUGAAGCUGACUUUUGUAACUUCUUUCCUUUGCUAUAAAUCCCAUAUACCCUUUGUCACUGGCAGUGUAUGGGUAACCUAAAUCUUUGUCCCUAAAAGACCUGAAUCCUCAGCAGUCCUAGAUCUUUGAGGUAGGGAGUGCUAAAAUUUUCCAUUAAAUUUUGCCAUUACAUUUCUGGGUUCUCUUACAUAUUCCGCAGUUUGUGCAAGUAGAACUAAUCCAAUUUCUCUCCAUUAUCAGAAACAGGCCAGCAGAUACAAUUACCUGUUUGUUCUUUGAAUGACAAGAGAAGCACAGAAUGGUCAGGUGGCAGGAAUGGAAGCUCUAUUUUUGGUUGAUAGUAUGUAUUAUUUCUUACCAAGGCAGAUCUGGCUACCACCACCAGAAUGCUUGAUCUGUUUAACAACAGAGAUCCAUACAAAGCCCCCAAAUGGUACCUUUCCCAAUUGGGACCAGCCAGUCAAAUCACUGGAAGUCUUCCAACAGAGAAGAAAAAGUAAUUUGCCCUCACUGCAACUGCCAUAUUGUAUUCUGGAUACACAUUUGCACUUCAUGCCCCCAAUACUUCUGCUAACAUGAAUAGUUAUGGUCUAUACAAUGAGAAGAUGGCUGUCUACAAAUGAAGAAGAGUGACCUUCCCAGACACCAGCUUUGUCAGUACCUUGGUCUUGGGCUUCCCAUCUUCUAGAACUGUGAGAAAUAAACUUCUGUUGUCUAAGCUAUCCA